rnacentral:rRNA from 1 species
UACGAAGGGGGCAAGCGUUGUUCGGAUUUACUGGGCGUAAAGCGUACGUAGGCGGAUGAUUAAGUCAGGGGUGAAAUCCCGAGGCUCAACCUCGGAACUGCCUUUGAUACUGGUCAUCUUGAGUCCGGGAGAGGUGAGUGGAACUGCGAGUGUAGAGGUGAAAUUCGUAGAUAUUCGCAAGAACACCAGUGGCGAAGGCGGCUCACUGGCCCGGUACUGACGCUGAGGUGCGAAAGCGUGGGGAGCAAACAGG